rnacentral:rRNA from 1 species
CGUCUAUAUACGUAUAGCAUAUCAAUAAGCGGAGGAAAAGAAACUAACUAGGAUUCCCUUAGUAACGGCGAGUGAAGCGGGAAGAGCUCAAAUUUGAAAUCUUCAAGGUUCUACCUUGACGAAUUGUAGUUUAAAGAAGUGUUUUCUGUUGGAGUUUUGGUAAAAGUUCUUUGGAAUAGGACAUCAUAGAGGGUGAGAAUCCCGUAUUUGACCAUUUAUUCCAGCUGUGUGAUACACUUUCAAAGAGUCGGAUUGUUUGGGAAUGCAGUCCAAAAUGGGUGGUAAAUUUCAUCUAAAGCUAAAUAUUGGCGAGAGACCGAUAGCGAACAAGUACCGUGAGGGAAAGAUGAAAAGAACUUUGAAAAGAGAGUUAAACAGUACGUGAAAUUGUCAAAAGGGAAGCGUUUGACACCAGUGUUGUUUUCUCGAAAAUCAAUUAAAAAUGACCGGAUUUUGUGUUGUAUUGACUUUAUCAGCUUUCUGCACUUUUUUCUUGUCUUUUUUAAUGCACUUUUCGUUUAACAAGUCAACAUCAAUUUCUUUUGUUGUAAAAGAGUCAUUGGAAGGUGGCUUUCACUUCGGUGAAAGUGUUUAUAGCCUUUGGCUUCUGCAAUCGGAGAGAUUGAGGUCUGCAGCGUAGAUCCUUCGGGGUUAGAUACAUUUGUGCUAAGUUAUAGUUUUUCAUAGACAACAUGUUGACUAUGAUUAAUCAUGUAGCUUACUCGCUUAUGCUAUUUUACCUACGCUUAGGAUGUUGAUAUGCAUGACUGAUAU